AUGAGCUGUGGUGUAGGUCACAUGCAGCUCGGAUUUGACAUUGCUGUGGCCGUGAUGAAGGCCAGCGGCUAUAGUUGCAAUUUGAUCCCUAGCCUGGGAACCUCCAUAUGCAGCAGGUGCAGCCCUAAAAAGACCAAAAAAAAAAUUUUUUUUUGAUCAUAAACAUGAGGAUUUGUUUCUUGGAGUUCCUAUUGUGGCUCAGUGGUAAUAAACCUGACACUAGUAUCCAUGAGGAUGUGAGUUCAAUCCCUGGCUCCCAUCCAUGGGUUAAAUAUCUGGCGUUGCUGUGAGCAGCUUUCAGACAUGGCUUGGGUCCUGCAUUGCUGUGGUGUUGGCCAGCAGCUGCAGCUCCAAUUCGAACACUAGCCUGGGAACUUCCAUGUGCUGCAUGUGCGGCCCUAAAAAGCAAAAAGAAAAAAGAGAGAGUUUAUUUCUGGACUCUAAGUUUUAUACUCUGGUAGUAAGUUAUGAAACCAGAAGUUUGAAACCUCCAACUUAGUUCUUUUUCAAGAUUAUUUUGGCAAUUCUGAGUCCCUUGCAUUUACCUAUGGUUUUAAGGUCAGGUUGUUGAUUUCUGGGGGGGAGAAAAAAGGCGAAUGAAAUUCUGAUUGGCAUUGUGUUUAAUCUGUAGGUCAGUUUAGGGAGUAUUGCCAUCUUAAAAAUAUCGUCUUCUAUGGAGUUCCCAUUGGCUCAGUGGUUAAGAAACUAGCUAGUAUCCAUGAGGAUGCAGGUUCAUUCCCUGGCCAAGCUCGGUGGGUUAAGGAUCUGGUGUUGCUGCAAGCUUGCAGAUGCAACUCAAAUCUGCUGUGGCUGUGGUGUAAACCAGCAGCUGCAGCUCUGAUUCAGCCACUAGCCCAGGAACUUCCAUGUGCCACAGGUGCGGCCCUAAAAAGCAAAAAAAAAAGAAAUCUACAGCUAACAUCAUAUUUAAUGAUGAGAAACAUAAAGCUUUUCCACUAAGAUCAGGUACAAGGUAAGGAUAUCUGCUCUUGGCACUCCUUUCAGCAU
rnacentral:lncRNA from 1 species